UAGGGAGCCUUCAGUGCAGAUCGAGAUAUAUCUGCAGGCUGUGAUUGGAUGAUAUUGUUUUUUAGCAUGCCUGAUGUUGACUGGGGAGGUACAUGUGAUCUCAUGCAGAAGAAAUAGAAGUUUUCACAUCCAAUUUGGCAUUUAGAGAAGCUGAUCUGAAGUCCGGUGUUGGCAGUGUGUGAUCGACAACCCUUAUUUGCCUCGCUGCGCUCGUAGAACUUGGACAUGCAGGUUCUACUACACCAAAUCAGAACCAGUUUGGACAGUGUGGUUUUUGUAGGGAGCCUUCAGU